AGCAGCCGCGGUAAUUCCAGCUCCAAUAGCGUAUGUUAAAGUUGUUGCAGUUAAAAAGCUCGUAGUUGAAUUUCGGGGUUAGUAGGUCGGUCAUGCCACUGGUAUGUACUGGUCUCACUGAUUCCUCCUUCCUGAUGAACCGUAAUGCCAUUAAUUUGGUGUUGCGGGGAGACUGGACUGUUACUUUGAAAAAAUUAGAGUGUUUAAAGCAGGCUAACGCUUGAAUACAUUAGCAUGGAAUAAUGAAAUAGGACGUUCGAUCCUAUUUUGUUGGUUUCUAGGAUUGACGUAAUGAUUAAUAGGGAUAGUUGGGGGCAUUAGUAUUCAAUUGUCAGAGGUGAAAUUCUUGGAUUUAUUGAAGACUAACUACUGCGAAAGCAUUUGCCAAGGAUGUUUUCAUUAAUCAAGAACGAAAGUUAGGGGAUCGAAGACGAUCAGAUACCGUCGUAG
rnacentral:rRNA from 1 species